rnacentral:lncRNA from 1 species
AGGGAUCCGGUUUUAGUGUUUAUCUGAAACUUUUUCUUCUCCACAAAUGGGUUAAUUGCUGCCAUCUCUUGUGCAAGAUUUUCAGGUUUUGUUUCAGUUCCAGCCAGUCUUUGUCUUAAAAAAUGACAUAGCCUGCAAUAUUAGUCUAAAAGGAAUUUCACAAGAGAUUCAUUUCAUCCAAACACUAAGCAUUUUGUAUAUAUGACUGAUCUCAGUAGUGAACCCCUGCAAACUUCAGCAGCACGUCUAAUAUUUUAAUAAGCAGCUAAUAUUUAGCCCAUCCAUUAAACCACUCCAUAAAUGAAUUAUUGAGCGCAAUCUGCUCUCCCGUGCCCACCUUCCUUUCCCACAAGGCUGUGGUUUUUAGCUAAGCCGGCGUGGAGCUCUCUUAUCUCCAAAUAAAACAAAACGGCUCCGCCGAGCGCCUGCACUGCCGAGCCCGGCGGGGGAAGGCAGCGGCAGCCGGGGGCUCUCGCCUCUCUCGGCAGCACCGGCAGCGCAGAUGGACAAUCACAAAUCCUGUCCCACGGCACCGUGAGUGAUGCCGGUGUAGCGGGAGCCUCGGGCAGCGCUUCCCCGCCGCGCCAGGACCUCGCUCCGCGGGACAGCGGGACACAGGGACAGCGGGACACACGGACAGCGGGACACACGGACACCGGGCUGCCGUGCCCCGGGCUGCGCUGGAUGCUCCGCGGGCUGCAGGGCCGGCCGCGGCCACCCGGCUCCUCCGACCAUGAAACCCUGGCAGCUGCUCGCAGGCGUGGGAGAUGCCCUUCAGGACACUAAAGCAGAGAGCAGUUCUGGUGUAGAAACUGAGGACAGAAAAAUAGCAGCAAAGAAACCUGAAUGAGAACAGACUGGCUGAGGAAUAUUUCUCCCACAUUAAAUUGUAUGAUUAUCGUUCUCCUUCAUCAUUGCUGAUAAGAAAAAUGUUUCUUAGAACCUGAAGUGUGACUUGAGAUGGCUCUGAUAAAACAUCCAGCAUGAUUUUGAAUUUUUAUUAUUUCACCUGUUCAAAGUUGAAUUUAAAACCUAUGACUAUCUUAAGGUUUUUUAAAACACCUCUUUAUCUGGGUGUAUUUUUAAACUCUGAAAUGUAAGCCUCUUGAUAGAUUAUAUGGGGAAGAUGAAUCUCUUGAAUCACAUACAUUAUGUACUACAUCUUUUAUGUAACUUGAAAUAAUGAAUGUAAGGUUGGCUGUGAC